UGAAUCUAUCGAACCUAUAGUCAGCAGCCAAUCAACUCUUUCCUUCCAAUUUUGAAAGUUAUGUGUGGAAUGAACCCGAAAAACCCCGCCAAUUUCACCAGAGGGUUAUUCAAAACAGGCGAAAAUAACUACCCUCUGGCUCCAGGGUAAGCUGGAUAACGAAUUUAGCCUGUUUUUCACUAGUUCAAAUUUUGCGCCGAGGCGAAUUUUUCUUUGUCUUGCAUGUAAUUCCUCGGGCUGAACUAAUUAAAAAAGACAAAGAAAAAAUCCGCUCCGCAAAAUGCCGCCUAGUGGAAAACCGGCUCUUGAGAUUUAAUAUCAUUUUCAAUGCACUAAUAAAUUUGAGUCUUUUUAGAAAUGUCAAAGUACAAAGAAUGUUAUAGCUAUAAAUGGCUUACAGAAAGCUCAAGAAAUGAGAAUUUCGCCAGUGGUCAUACUCGUUACAAUGACGAAACCCUUAGUAAUGGAUGGUAUAGAUUUGGUGGUGGUGCUGGGACAAAAAUGCCAACAACGUGUGCAAGGCAUCGACAUUGUGGAGGCGGUGGUGCUGGUUGGAUGAACGGUACCCAUCCAACGGUUGCCGAGGGCAAAGUUGCGCGCAAGGUUUGUUACAACACUGGUCCUCCCGUCUGUUGUUGGCAAAUCGCAAUCAAUCAUAUUGAAGUGAUCAACUGUGGUCAGUAUUACGUAUACAAAUUAGAGCCGGCUAAAUGUGGGCCUUGUAGAUAUUGUGGUACUAAUUAAGCAGCAAUUCACUCGUUUUUGAAAUAAAAAUACUUCUGAAACUUCUAUAUAUUAAUUGCUCAUACCAAAUUGAAACUAUUCAAAUUUCUCAAAAUGACUGUGUAGAAAUAGAAGUGUAGUUGUAAGCACAACUCACAUUAUAACAACCACAAUUAAAUAAAGCAAAUUAAAUUUGAAAUCCAG